rnacentral:tRNA from 1 species
GCGCCCGUAGCUCAACGGAUAGAGCAUCUGACUACGGAUCAGAAGGUUGGGGGUUCGAAUCCCUUCGGGCGCGCCG